rnacentral:rRNA from 1 species
CCUACGGGGGGCUGCAGUGGGGAAUAUUGGACAAUGGGCGAAAGCCUGAUCCAGCCAUGCCGCGUGUGUGAAGAAGGCCUUCGGGUUGUAAAGCACUUUCAGUGGGGAAGAAAGCCUUGGGGCUAAUACCCUCGAGGAAGGACAUCACCCACAGAAGAAGCACCGGCUAACUCCGUGCCAGCAGCCGCGGUAAUACGGAGGGUGCGAGCGUUAAUCGGAAUUACUGGGCGUAAAGCGCGCGUAGGCGGUCUGAUAAGCCGGUUGUGAAAGCCCCGGGCUCAACCUGGGAACGGCAUCCGGAACUGUCAGGCUAGAGUGCAGGAGAGGAAGGUAGAAUUCCCGGUGUAGCGGUGAAAUGCGUAGAGAUCGGGAGGAAUACCAGUGGCGAAGGCGGCCUACUGGACUGACACUGACGCUGAGGUGCGAAAGCGUGGGUAGCAAACAGGAUUAGAUACCCGGGUAGUC